UGAUCCCUCACUCAACAUGUUGACACGGUAAAUAAUCAGAACAAUAAAAUCAGAGGGAAGUCUGUCGGAGGGUCGAUACCUGAGGGGGUACUUAAGGAGGCGGCCCGGACCCCAACAGCCAGUCUGCAGGUCUGAUCUGGUCUCUGAGCAGAAUCUGUCCAGGAAAUCAUCAUCCUCAUCUUCAUCAUCCUCACAAUGCCGUCCAUCAGUGUGACUCAGGUGUUCUUGCUGUUGGCCCUCCUCCAUCUCACCACAUCACUUCCUGUCAGUGAUGAAGAUGAGGUGGAGAGUUUCCUGACUCAGAUCAGACACCUGAACACACCGUGGUCUCUGUCAGGGAUGAACUCUGGAGACGCUCUGCUCGAGGCCAGACUCAGGCAGCUGCUGUCAGCAGGUUUGGACCGCAGGAGGCAACUAGGAGAUAUCGAGUUCUCCAACAGAUACGCAGAGUUUCUGCGAUCUAAGGCCAAACACAGCUCCAUCUGCGCCUUCCUGCGCCGCAUGCAGGGUGUCAAGAAGAGGAGCCAUAAGCAUGCUGUUAUCAUGGAGGGCUGCCACAUGGUCAGGUGCCCCUCAAGCAGUUAGGGCCACCCUCUGGUUCCCAAGUCAAAUACCCAUGGACUGAGCCCCCAAACUAUGUGGGGUGGGAGGAGACAUGGAGCGAGUGAACCUGCUGCUGAAACAGUACAUGUGCCCGUCGGUCUACAACAACUGGCCGACUGACCUGUAGGCCUAGAGUACACUCAGAGACGGAUUCAAGCUGAUGUAAGAAGGACAAACAUGUUACUGAUGUUCUGAAUGAAUGCAGCUGUUAUCAUAUUUAAUGUGGAAACACAGAUAUCUUUGUUAUUAAAAUAUGUUUUAUGAGG
rnacentral:lncRNA from 15 species